CACGUAGGGCGCAAGCGUUGUCCGGAAUUAUUGGGCGUAAAGAGCUCGUAGGCGGUCUGUUGCGUCCGCUGUGAAAACUCGGGGCUUAACCCCGAGCCUGCAGUGGAUACGGGCAGACUAGAGGUAGGUAGGGGAGAAUGGAAUUCCCGGUGUAGCGGUGAAAAUGCGCAGAUAUCAGGAGGAACACCGGUGGCGAAGGCGGUCUCUGGGGCAUUACCUGACGCUGAGGAGCGAAAGUGUGGGGAGCGAACAGG
rnacentral:rRNA from 1 species